rnacentral:rRNA from 1 species
UACGUAGGUGGCAAGCGUUGUCCGGAAUUACUGGGCGUAAAGGGCGUGUAGGCGGUUUUUUAAGUCAGGCGUGAAAACCCAGGGCUUAACCUUGGGAUUGCGUUUGAAACUGGAAGACUUGAGGAUCGGAGAGGGCAGUGGAAUUCCCAGUGUAGCGGUGAAAUGCGUAGAUAUUGGGAGGAACACCAGUGGCGAAGGCGGCUGCCUGGACGACACCUGACGCUGAGGCGCGAAAGCUAGGGUAGCAAACGGG